UACAGAGGGGGCAAGCGUUGUUCGGAAUUACUGGGCGUAAAGGGCGCGUAGGCGGCCCGCUAAGUCGAACGUGAAAUCCCCAGGCUUAACCUGGGAACUGCGUCCGAGACUGGCAGGCUUGAAUCCGGGAGAGGGAUGUGGAAUUCCAGGUGUAGCGGUGAAAUGCGUAGAUAUCUGGAGGAACACCGGUGGCGAAGGCGGCAUCCUGGACCGGUAUUGACGCUGAGGCGCGAAAGCCAGGGGAGCAAACGGG
rnacentral:rRNA from 1 species